UGGAAACCAGAAAUGAUCACCCGCUCUUCCUGGAAAAGGAAUUGGUUAGGACGCCAGUGCUUGGAAAAACAGUGAUCUGAGAGUAAAUUUCACCCCUCAGCUGUGUCCUAGCUAUGCCCAUUCUCUGGGACUCUUCUGGCUUUCCCACUCCUCCCUGUACUCCUGCCUGCGUCUAUGCCCUGGUCUCAUUCCUCCACCCCAAUCCUGCUUCUCUUGUGUAUUGUCUGGAGCAGGCCAGUGAACCUUUCCUGACCUUUGUCAGCUUAGUGAUGUGGCACUGCCCAAUAUUUGUUGCAUUUUAUAGUUCCUUCCUGGUUCUUCUGUAUCUGCUUUGAAUUAUAAGUACUUGUCUCUUUUUUUUUUGAUACCGGGGAUCGAACUCGGAUCCUUGUGCUUGCACAGCAGGUGGCUAAACCACUGAGCUAAAUCCCCGGCCCAAGUUCUUGUCUCUUUAUCAUCUUGGUAUUGCAGCAAGAAGAAACAUGCCGAGUAUAGGAGCCUGUGCCAUACCUGGCAGCCGGGAAUGAGAAGGCAGGACCAGCUGACCAGACAAGCCUCUCUCCUUGAUGUUCUGUCUGCUGCUCUUGGACUGGCUGCUGCUCAGCAUUCUCAUCUUGAAGACAAGAAAUAAAAACAGUUCCUGGAUCCUGGGGAGGGGGUGAUGGACAGAGUUAAUGAAUUAAAGUACUUGAAAAUGCUGUUUGUAAUAUGUUACUCUAAUUUCUUUUCUUAAAUUGAUAAGUAAAAAUGGCAUAUAUUUAUGAUGACACCAUAAUGUUUUUUGAGACAGACAUACAUUGUAG
ensembl:lncRNA